CCAGGGAAGUCCCAGAUAAGUCUCAUAUUUUAAAAUUAAUUUUAUCUGUUUUAGUCCAUUCGAACUGCUGUAAGAAAACAUCAUAUACUGGGUGGCUUAUAAUCAACAGGCAUUUAUUUCUCACAGCUCUGGAGGCUGGAAGUCCAAACUCAAGUUUCCCAUGGAUUCAGUGUCUGGUCCUAGGAGAGACUGGCAUGCCACCCCACACAGGAGCCAUAUAGGAGGAGCACCUGGAGAGCAUCCUCAACGAAGCAGAAGAGUGGGGCCCCCUAGCUCCUCUCCAGGCCUCUGGGCCCCAGGCUCCUAGAAGAAACAGAGACAGCCUCUCCCGGCCGGCUGCAGAACAAGAACUACGCUACCACGCGCGCCACAACCAGAGAAGCCCGCGGGCCCCAAUGAAGACGUAGCGCAUAAUGAAUGAAUGAAUGAG